GGGGAAAACCGAUUUUCACGUAUCUGUUAUGAUCAGUGUUUGGAAUUACCUAUAUAGAUACAAAUAUCUAUUUACAAUCUAGACAACAAAGAUAAUCCAGAAAACCAUAUUAUAUACUAUCUAGUAUCUAGAUAAAACCUAAUUAUUUUAUCUCUGUCGUUCGAAUUAUGUUUAUUUUAUGCGUGUAGAUUAUAUAUAGAUAUU